rnacentral:piRNA from 1 species
CUACCUCUGACACAGCCUGUC